UACGUAGGGGGCAAGCGUUGUCCGGAUUUAUUGGGCGUAAAGAGCGUGUAGGCGGCCUGAAAGGUCAGCUGUGAAAACUCGAGGCUCAACCUCGAGACGUCGGUUGAAACCAUCUGGCUAGAGUCCGGAAGAGGAGUGUGGAAUUCCCGGUGUAGCGGUGAAAUGCGCAGAUAUCAGGAGGAACACCGGUGGCGAAGGCGGGUCUCUGGGCAGUAACUGACGCUGGAGGAGCGGAAAGCGUGGGGAGCGAACAGG
rnacentral:rRNA from 1 species